CGGAAUGGAGAGGCAAGGGCAUGGCCGAGUCCGUGCGCGCAUGUGCAUUCUAUGCCUUAGCCGCAUCUCCCACUCUCACAUCUGGCCAAACAAAUAGACACACUGAAUCCUGCUACCUCCUGCAGGCCCCUACCCUCCAUGCAUGUACCCCUAGCCAUCACUAGACCUCCCUCUAAUUCUUUUUCCUUGGAACCCGAUGGUGGUGACCACCGUUCUCUCUCUUCUCCCUGCUGACCGUGCACGCCCAAACCCUGGACGAGACGAGACCAUCCUCUUCACACACGCUCGGAGAAACCAGGCCGUGCCCGAACCUGCACGCACGCGGCCUCCUUGCUUCUCAGUUCUUGUGUCGAACAGUUGGAAGGCGGACAUGACCCCUCCUUGACCUUCGAUUCCCUCGCGACCCCGACGUCCACCUCGUUCCAAAAACCUUCAGCACGGUCUGGAGACACCGCAGCUCCACCCCUGUUUCCCUCCUUGUCCCUUCCUCCUGGCCGCGCUCGCCGCCCUUGAUCGCCAACCCACGGAUGCCACGUCGAGGCAGAGCACGAUCUCGUCCUGGUCAAAAGCCUCCAACCCUCUCCACACCCUCCUCUCAUUCCUUCGUUGCUCUCCAGGACGCCCUCAGAAGCAGCUCUUCCUCCUACCUCGCUCGCCCUGAUCAAAGGAACGCCACGACCGUCGGUCUGCAUGUCGAUCGGCGUCGGCGUCGAGGCCGUCGCCUCACUCCGCGCGCCUUCUCUCUCUCUCGGUCUCCAUGCCUUCCUCUUAUGCGUGCGCGUCUGACCCGUCCCUUUUCCUUGCCAGGUAUCCAUGAGGACCGUCGCCGUCGAGUUUAGUUCUGGCAGUUGCUGUCCCGGACGUGGAGCACCGAGCACAACCUCGUCCACGAUGACCGUGAGCACACCGACGCGUCCUGGGCGACAUGCAGCACCAUCGCGCGAGGAAGCUCCGUGACGCCUCCGUCAUUCUUGAGCAGCCUCAGUGAGCUUUCACUUCGUCGCCGAUGUUGGAGUCCGUCUGCGCCGACGGGGAACGCGUCGCUGUCCGAGCCCACGCCCUGGAGCACCACCAGCUCCGCCCACCCGUCCGAGACAGCUAGGCUGAGCAGCAGCGCGUCUCAUUGCCGUCCGCCGCUCCUCCUCUGCGUUGUCUCCCUCGUCCCCGAGCUGCCCCGUCUCCGUCUUCGUCGCCGACGGGGCCGUGCUGCAUGUCGUCGUCUGCGUCACAGAGCUCACGAGGAGCUCAUCGCCGUCGCCGUGGCGCUGCUCGUACCGACGCGACCGUACGUCUCCGUCCGCGCGCGCAACCUACAGCCACGUCUGCGCGUCCAAGGCAGCCAGAGCUGGACACCUCUCGUCUCCACCUUCAUCCGUGACUUCCUCGUCGUUCCAGCAUCCCAAGAAUGCGAACAUUAUCGGAGAUGGAGAGGGUCUUGGUGAGAAUUUCGAAGAGGAAGGAAGAGCAGAGGAUCAUGAAGAACAAGUCCAGGGACAAAUAGCCAACCAAGGCAAGC